GACAGAGGUGCCGAGCGUUAGGCGGAAUCACUGGGCUUAAAGCGUGUGUAGGUGGAUGCCUAAGUACCUUGUGAAAUCCCACGGCUUAACCGUGGAACUGCUUGGUAUACUGGAUGUCUUGAGCCAUCUAGGGGCUACCGGAACAAAUGGUGGAGCGGUGAAAUGCGUAGAUAUCAUUUGGAACGCCAAUGGUGAAAACAGGUAGCUGGGGAUGUGCUGACGCUGAGACACGAAAGCCAGGGGAGCGAACGGG
rnacentral:rRNA from 1 species